AACGAACGCUGGCGGCAUGCCUAACACAUGCAAGUCGAACGAGACCUUCGGGUCUAGUGGCGCACGGGUGCGUAACGCGUGGGAACCUGCCCUUAGGUUCGGAAUAACUCCCCGAAAGGGGUGCUAAUACCGGAUAAUCUCUUCGGACCAAAGAUUUAUCGCCUUUGGAUGGGCCCGCGUUGGAUUAGCUAGUUGGUAGGGUAAAAGCCUACCAAGGCGACGAUCCAUAGCUGGUCUGAGAGGAUGAUCAGCCACACUGGGACUGAGACACGGCCCAGACUCCUACGGGAGGCAGCAGUGGGGAAUAUUGGACAAUGGGCGAAAGCCUGAUACAGCAAUGCCGCGUGAGUGAUGAAGGCCUUAGGGUUGUAAAGCUCUUUUACCCGGGAUGAUAAUGACAGUACCGGGAGAAUAAGCACCGGCUAACUCCGUG
rnacentral:rRNA from 1 species